UAGCUCAGUUGGUUGGAGCACGGUGCUGAUAACACCAAGGUCAUGGAUUCGAUCCCCAU
rnacentral:tRNA from 1 species